rnacentral:lncRNA from 1 species
AGUAGUUAGUAAACAGUUGAUUGACAGUUGAGAGGCGGGCCUAAAGAGCAAAGCUCAACCCCCGUAAAAACACAACUAGUAAAACACAACUAGUAAACACACACACACACACACACACACAGUUAUUUGUUUUGGUUAGAUUGGUAAGAAAGGUGGGGUCCAAGAGCUUGAUUCUGUAGACACAAAUAGAAAAUACACACGGGGGCGGCUGAGUGGACAGAGCUCGGGGGGUCAUAGUCCUAAGUGCUUAGGUUGGAUUCCCGGCCAAGGCAGGGCACACAAAUGGGCAGAGUUUCUUUGCGCCUGGUGCCCUUUUCACCUAACAAUAAAUAGGUACUUGUGAGUUAGACAGCUGUUACGGACUACAUCCUGGAGAUAAGUGUGUUUUGUGUGUGUGUGCUAGAGAGAAAUAUAUGUAGUAGAUAUGAUAGAAGAAAACUGAUUGGGAGUCAGUUCAUUAGACAAGUGACGGUUAGAAAGGCUGGGUCAAGAGCUAACAGCCCAAUCCAGCAGGUUCAAAUAGUAAUUACACUUAUGCAAGUAGGUUAUCUGCACAUCCCUGCAGAUAACUCUAAAGAAUAAUAAUAAUAAGACGAGUGAAACAUUUAGUGAAGAUUAGGUGUUUAAACAAACACCAGACUGUCUUUCCAAGAGAAAACUGGACAGUUUUCUUCAAGAAGUGUCGGACAAACCGGGCUGUGAUGGAUAUGUGGACCUGCAGGCCGAUCCAAGCAACAGCCUGUUGGACCAAGCUCUAACAAGUCAAGCAUGGCCCCAAGCCGGGAUUGGGGGGUAGAAGAACUCACAGAACCCGUUCAGGUACAAUCCAGGUACCUGCAUGGCUUAAGGGAAGGGAAACCAUGUCUAAGAAACCUCAAGAACUCUAUGAAUAAGAAACAAUAAUAAGACAAGACAAAAGGCUCCGUACAUGUAUUUGUGGACUGCUAAUUUUUAUCUUAUAUUCUUGUUUAAAUGAGAUAAUAUUAAGGUCAGUUAUGAAGUUUCAUAGGAAAUUAUAGCUGAACAUUUAAUGUAGCAACGCCAAGAAGUGAUUGAAACCGCUGUCAAGGAAUUCGAGAGGAAACAGUAAUCAUUAAAUUUCUUAAGAAAGCGAAAAAAGAUAUCAUGCAUGAACAGCAAAAACUUCAGUGGAUAAAAGUAGAAGACAUUUUUAAAUUUAUUUCAAUUUGGCUUGUCAAUAAAUGAAAUAUAAUUCAUCCACUUGAUAGUAUCUUAUAAUACAAGCAAAAGAGGAAGACCUUUUCCUGGGUCAGUUUUCCAAUGUAAAAGCAACAGAUUAAGUGUGUAAACAAAAGUAUAUGGUAUAUAUAAUACUUGUAAAUAAUGCAAUGUGUUUAUUGGGACAUUCUCGUCAAAAAAUAAGCAACAAUGAUUCCAAGAUUAGAUGCAUGAAGGUAGAAGGAAUUCUUAAGAAAAUUAGCAAACAAUGACUGCAGAUCAUCAUCUCUGAACAGAUAUCUGUGUUCUUACCUUCCGCCACAUCACUAACCCUGAUAAUAGUCCUGGACUAUACUGUACUUGUACUUGGUUUUUUGGUCAGUAAGCAGCUGUUGUGACUUUAACCUCUUUGUGACUUUGCUGUUGUGACUUUAACCAUCGUCCCUUCACUAGAAAGUGAAGGGACGACGACUUUUUGGUCCGUCCUGGACCAUUCUCCACACACUUUCUAGUGUGUGGUUUGGUCAACAUAUUUCAGCCAUGUUAUUGUGACUCCUCGUUUGCAUAAGGGUGAAUAAUCCUCCACAGGUAGAUAGACCUUAAUCCCAAGACCACUAAUGCACCAGACCACUAGCCCUUGCCAGCAAUAGGGGAGAACUCAUCCAUACUAGCACAAGUGUGAUGAACCUCAAUAAUAUUCCAGCAAAGGAUCGAGAACACAUAACACUCUUGCAGCUUGCAACAGGCUGCACAUGGAUUUGUUAAGUUAUCAAGCAUAAUUCUAUGAUCAGUUCACUCAAAUGGAGAAGCUGAAAUAUGAAUAUAUUUACCGGUCAUGAUUACAGAUUCCUCAAGCGAACGAAUCAUCUAAAAAAAAAUGGAACAUAUUGAAAACUGAAAAUUAUUAAGGAACAACUAAUAAAUUAAUCUUUGAUGAAGAUUGAGAAUAAACUACUGCAAACAAUUGAGUUUUUGGACGUUACGGAAUCUUUCUUUAAUGAGAAUCAUAAAAGUUGUCUUUUAAUAAGAUCCAUUAAAUUUAAUUUGGUUU